rnacentral:lncRNA from 1 species
AGGAAGUGAGGGCGCCGCGGACCUGUCCGGCCGUGCGCAUGCGCCGCACGCCCGCCCUGCAAGUUUAUCAACCUUCCUUAAUAAAGGAAUGUCAGCCACAUCGCUGUUAAAGGCUAUAUAACACUCCGCUGUGCAGCUCAACCAUGAAGUGUUGAAUGAUUCUGGAGUUCAGCUGAAGGGAGGUUUCUUCAAUGUCAAUAAAGGAAAAGGCACAGGCACAGGAGGGCGCCACCUGAAGGAAGGGACAAGAUGCCAUAAAAUCAUAGAUGGCUCCAGAGGAACGGAAGGGAGAAAAAUGGCUGGGUGGGCCGUUCAUUUCUGAGCUUCACCCCACUGUGACCCCAAAACCUAUGGAGAGAAAUAUCAUCAUUAGAAGACAAAAGGAUUUAAUGUGAAAUAUAAUGACAGAAGAACUAUUACCACCAAUAUCUCUGAUCAAUUGCUUAGUUUCUGCCAGUAUUAUAGAAAGUGAUUUCUACCCAUUUAUAAUGCAAUCCUUACAACAUUAUGAAAGAUAUUUUAUUACUUCCCUGUUUUCAGAUGAGAAAAUGGAG